rnacentral:rRNA from 1 species
CCUACGGGAGACAGCAGUCGAGAAUCAUUCACAAUGGGGGAAACCCUGAUGGGGCGACGCCGCGUGGGGGAAUGAAGGUCUGCGGAUUGUAAACCCCUGUCAUGUGGGAGCAAAUUAAAAAGAUAGUACCACAAGAGGAAGAGACGGCUAACUCUGUGCCAGCAGCCGCGGUAAUCCAGAGGUCUCAAGCUUUGUUCGGAAUCACUGGGCGUAAAGCGUGCGUAGGCUGUUUCGUAAGUCGUGUGUGAAAGGCGCGGGCUCAACCCGCGGACGGCACAUGAUACUGCGAGACUAGAGUAAUGGAGGGGGAACCGGAAUUCUCGGUGUAGCAGUGAAAUGCGUAGAUAUCGAGAGGAACACUCGUGGCGAAGGCGGGUUCCUGGACAUUAACUGACGCUGAGGCACGAAGGCCAGGGGAGCGAAAGGGAUUAGAUACCCCAGUAGUC